UCCAGGGGCUGCGUAUCAAGGCUCAAAAGGCCAGCGGGGCCCAUAUGGACAGCCAGGUCUUCCAGGGCCGCUUGGGUUCUCUGGUGCAAAAGGAACAGACUGUCUGAUCGGCAUCCCUGGGCUGCCCGGAGAUCUGGGAUUACCUGGAGCAAAUGGGUGGCCAGGACCACCGGGUGAAAUUGGACUUCCAGGUUCAACCUACUCAUUCCCAGGUGACCCAGGGUACCCUGGGCAAUCAGGGUCUCCCGGGCUGAAAGGAAAUGCAGGCCCCCCCG